rnacentral:lncRNA from 1 species
GCUUUGUUUUGCUUUGUUUUUUUAAGAUGGGAUCCUUAUGUUGCCCAGGCUGGUCUGGAACUCCUGAGAACCAGGGAUCCUCCUGCUUCAGAUUCCUAAGUGCUGAAAUACAGGCAUGUGCUGCCACACAUCCAACUUCAUCUGUAUGUAAAUAAGACUUUGGACUUACAGUUCAGCAACUGAAAUGCUCAACUUUUGAGGCGGUUGAUAUAGGGUAAAUAAAAUUUUCAUGUGAGAAAGACAUGAAUUUUGAGGAUAUGGAAGCAUAGCAUUAUGGAUUGAAUUGGUUUCCCUCAAAACUCAUGUUGAAAUUUUACUCUCCGAUGAAGUCAUACCCAAUCUGGUAUUUUGAUGUGACAGCCCCAAACAGACCAAUAUAAAUACCGGGAAGAAAGUUAAAAGACAACACAGAAUGGGGAAAAGUUUUGCAAGUAAUGUAUCUGCUAUUCUCCCUACAAAGUACAAAUCAAAAUUAAACUAUAAAAAGAUACCCAGGCCUGGAGGCAGACACCUGUAAUCCCAGCAGUUUGGGAGGCUGAGACAGGAGGAUCAUGAAUUCAAAGCCAGCCUCAGCAAAAGCAAGGUGCUAAGCAACUCAGUGAGACUCGUUCUUAAAAUAAAAUACAAAAUAGGGCUGGGGAUGUGACAAAGUAGUUGAGUACCCCUGAGUUCAAUCCCCAGUACCAGAAAAAAAAAAAAAAAACAAUAAAAAGACUAAUCCAUUUUAAAAAUAAGGAAUACUGGAUGCAGUGGCACUUGCCUUUAAUCCUGGUGAUUCUGGAGCCAGAGGCAAGAAGGUUACAAGUUCAAGGCCAACCUAGGCAAUGUGUAUAGAGACCCUGUCUCAAAAUAAAAUAAAAAGGACUGGGGAUAUACCUCAGUGGUAGAGUACUCCUGGUUUCAAGCCCCAGUAUGAUAAGAGAGAGAGAGAGAUUUCUCCAAAUAUAUUCAAAUUGUUAAUAAGGAUGUGAAAAGUUCCUCAACAUAGUCAUUAGGAAAAUGCAAAUCAAAACUGAAACAAGAUACCAUAUUAAACCCAUUAAGAAGGCUAAAAUUAAAAAGAAAUGUUGGUUAGAGUGUGAAGAAUUGGAGCCCUCAUAUAUUGCUACAGGCAAUGUAAAAUGAUGUAGCCAUUUUGUAAAAUCAUCUGCCAGUCCUUUGAAAAGUUAAAGUUUCCCUAUGACCCAUCAAUUCCACUUCUAAGUAUAUAGCCAAGAAAAUGGAAAACAUGUCCACACAAAAGUUUGUAUGUGAAUAUUACAGCAGCAUUAUUUAUAAUAAAUAUACAGUAGAAACUAAAUCCCUCAUGAUUUAUGAAAAAGAACCCCUAGCUUUUCAUUCAUUGCUGGCUUGCAAGAAAAUGAGGGCAUUGCCCUUAAAGUCUUAGUGGCCUAUAAACAACAAUUUUUUUCCUCACUAGAUUGGGAAUUUGUAACUGUUGGGAGUGGCAGGGGCAAGAGUUGACUGCCCUGGCAGCACUCUAGAUACAAGUCAAAUUCAAGUCACUUCCACAUGUCUCUCAUUCAAGGACCAGAGUAAAGGAGUGGUAUUUUCCUGAUGAUGAAAGAUAAGCACACUACAGAACUACUAAACUACAGAAACUGAUGUGAAUAGAAGUUCUGUGUGCUCACAUUAACAAAGCAAGUCAUAUAGUUAGGUCCAACAUAGUGGUAUAAGGAAGUAUACUCUGCCCACUCAUUCCACAGAGUAGAGGGAGAGAAGAAAAAGGGGAAGAAAAAUGACUUGGCCUUACCUUUAAGAAAACUCAACAAAAAUUGUGCACUUCACUAAUCCAUGUAUCUCAGGGUAAAAUCUUAGUGUAUACAAAAAAAGAAAAUUUAGUACAUUGUCAUUCUUUGUCUGAAGGCAGAUAAGAAAUACAGCCUCCAUUCUGGAUUGUCAUGUACCCAAGUUAAAAUUAAGAAUAUCUAUUACUACUGGCGUAGUGGCACAUGCCUGUAAUCCCAGCAGUUUGGGAGGCUGGGGAAGGAGGAUCAUGAACUCAAAGCCAGCCUCAGCAAUUUAGUGAGGGCCUGAGCAACCCAGAAAGACCCUUUCUCUAAACAAAAUAUAAAACAGGCUGGGGAUGUGGCUCAGUGGUUAAGCGCUCGUGGGCUUCAACUCCUGGCACCAAAAAAAAAAAAAAAGAAUAUUACUAAAAACCAAGGAUCAAGAAAUGGGAUACCAUCAAAUUAAAAGCUACCCAGCAAAGGAAAUGAACAUGAAGAGAGAGCCUAUAGAUGGAGAAAAUCAUGACCAGCUAUCUACUCCUUUAUUAGGGGAUUAAUAUUCAGAAUAUAUAAAGAACUCAAAAGAUAACCCAAUCAAUAAGAGAGCAAAAGAACUCAACAAACUUCUCAAAAGAAGAAACACAAAUGGCCAACAAAUACAUGAAAAAAUCUUCCAACAUCUCUAGCAGUCAGAGAGAUGCAAAUCAAAACUACACUAAGAUUUCAACUUACUCCAGUCAGAAUGAUAUUGAUCCAAAAUACAAACAAUUAUAAACUUUGGUGAGGUUGGUGGGGAAAAGAAACACUUAAACAUUAUUGGUAGGACUACAGACUUAUAAAACCACUCUGGAACGCAGUAUGGUGAUUCCUCAAAAAACUAGGAAUGGAACUACCUACCAUGUGAUCCAGCUGUCCCACUCCUUGUAUUUUCCCAGAAGAUCUAAAGUUGGCAUCAGUAGUGAUACGGCCACUUCAAUGUUUAUAGCAGCAUAAUUAACAAUAGCUAAAUUAUGGAAUCAACAAUGGAGUUCUGCUCAGUCAUAAAAGAGAAUGAAAUUAUGAUGUUUGCCAGUAAAUGGAUGGAAAUGGAGAAUAUCAUGCCAAGUGAAAUAAACCAAACUCAGAAACUCAAAGGUUAAAUGUUUUCUCUCAUGUGGAAGCUAGAGUAAAAUAAAGGAAAGAAGGAGGGAAGGAUAGUACAACAUGAAGAUAAAGGGAAGAUCAGUAAUUUAGAAGAGAGAUUGAGAGGUGGAGUGGAAGGAUGGAUAAGGGGAGGCAAUGCAGAAUGAAUUAUUUAAAAAUCAUGUGUAUGUAUGAUAUACCACAGGAAAUUUCACCUUUAUGCAUAAGUAAAAAGAACCCAUCACUUAAAUGUAUAGAUGAGUGAAAGGAAGUCUAGUAAAGUAGAAGAAGGAGAAUGGGAGAUGGGAAGGAGGACAGGAGGGAAAAGGCGAUAAUCGCGGACUGGAAUUGAAUUCCAUACAUGUAUGAAUUUGUCAGGAUGAACCCAAUUACUAUGCAUAACUAUAAAGCUCUAAUAAAAAUAAUAAUAUUAAUAAUCCCCUUAUAUUUC